UACGGAGGGUGCGAGCGUUGUCCGGAAUCACUGGGCGUAAAGGGCGUGUAGGCGGUUUCGUAUGUCUGGCGUGAAAGCCCCGGGCUCACCUCGGGAAGUGCGUCGGAAACUGCGAGACUAGAGUCCCGGAGAGGAAGGUGGAAUUCCAGGUGUAGCGGUGAAAUGCGUAGAUAUCUGGAAGAACACCGGUGGCGAAGGCGGCCUUCUGGACGGUGACUGACGCUGAGACGCGAAAGCGUGGGGAGCAAACAGG
rnacentral:rRNA from 1 species